UGCGUCGUGACUGCGUGCCUUUUGAAGAAUGAGCCUGCGAGUUUGCGGUGUGUUGCGAGGUUAACCCGAGUGGGGAAGCCGUAGCGAAAGCGAGUCCGAAUAGGGCGAUUCAGUAGCGCGCUCAAGACCCGAAGCGGAGUGAUCUAGCCAUGGGCAGGUUGAAGCGGAGGUAAGACUUCGUGGAGGACCGAACCCACCAGGGUUGAAAACCUGGGGGAUGACCUGUGGUUAGGGGUGAAAGGCCAAUCAAACUCCGUGAUAGCUGGUUCUCCCCGAAAUGCAUUUAGGUGCAGCGUCGUGUGUUUCUUGCCGGAGGUAGAGCACUGGAUAGGCGAUGGGCCCUACCGGGUUACUGACCUUAGCCAAACUCCGAAUGCCGGUAAGUGAGAGCGCGGCAGUGAGACUGUGGGGGAUAAGCUCCAUGGUCGAGAGGGAAACAGCCCAGAGCAUCGACUAAGGCCCCUAAGCGUACGCUAAGUGGGAAAGGAUGUGGAGUCGCACAGACAACCAGGAGGUUGGCUUAGAAGCAGCCACCCUUGAAAGAGUGCGUAAUAGCUCACUGGUCUAGUGAUUCCGCGCCGACAAUGUAGCGGGGCUCAAGCGUACCGCCGAAGUCGUGUCAUU
rnacentral:ncRNA from 1 species